CUGCAAACUAGUCAACUUCCCAUGAUAGUUUUACAUUAGGAACCCCUUAAGACAGAUUGAUGCCUACCCUCACCACCUCCACAAAUCUUGCCUGCCUAAAGAAAAGGAAACUGACAGAGAGGCUUAACAUGGGGGAGAGAGAGAGAGAGAGAGAGAGAGAGAGAGAGAGAGAGAGAGUAGUUAAAUAUCUCAAAUAAACCCCUCUUUUGCCACCAUCAGAAUAUGUUGAGGCUGAUAUAAAUCCAUUAAUGAAAUUCAGAUCGGAUCGGCCACAGCAUAUUCAGAGAACUAAAUCAAAUGAGAGGGGG